UCGAGUCUUCAGGGUUGGUGCUGGGAAGGUCAUUGUUCAUCAGCUCUAAGCCACUCCUUGGUUUCCAUAAAUUAGGGUGAACCUUGGGAGUUGCCUGCAUUCAAUCAAUAUCAUCACAAUCAAAUGACCAACUAUUGCUCCGAUUUCAAUUUCGAAAGGAAAGAGAGGAGAAAUCUAAUAGGAAAGAAUUAUAACGCAUGUCAU
rnacentral:lncRNA from 1 species